rnacentral:rRNA from 1 species
GAUGAACGCUGACAGAAUGCUUAACACAUGCAAGUCAACUGUGGCGGACGGGUGAGUAACGCGUAAAGAACUUGCCUCACAGUUAGGGACAACAUUUGGAAACGAAUGCUAAUACCUGAUACUGUGAGAGAGCGUUGCGUCCCAUUAGCUAGUUGGAGAGGUAACGGCUCACCAAGGCGAUGAUGGGUAGCCGGCCUGAGCGGGUGAUCGGCCACAAGGGGAAGUAGACCCGGCCCUUCCUCCUACGGGAGGCAGCAGUGGGGAAUAUUGGACCAUGGACGAGAGUCUGAUCCAGCAUUUCUGUGUGCACGAUGUAGUUUUCGGAAUGUAAAGUUUUUUCCGUUGGGAAGCGGUACCAACAGAAGAAGUGACGGCUAACUACGUGCCAGCAGCCGCGGUAAUAC